CCCUUAGAUGUACUGGGCCGCACGCGCGCUACACUGAUGCAUUCAACGAGCCUAUCCUUGACCGACAGGUCCGGGUAAUCUUUGAAUCUGCAUCGUGACGGGGAUAGAUUAUUGCAAUUAUUAAUCUUCAACGAGGAAUGCCUAGUAGGCGCAAGUCAUCAGCUUGCGUCGAUUACGUCCCUGCCCUUUGUACACACCGCCCGUCGCUCCUACCGAUUGGGUGUGCUGGUGAAAUGUUCGGAUCGGCCGUUUGUCGCGGUUUCCGCGGCUCGUGGCUGAGAAGUUCAUUAAACCCUCCCACCUAGAGGAAGGAGAAGUCGUAACA
rnacentral:rRNA from 1 species